UACGGAGGAUUCGAGCGUUAUCCGGAUUUAUUGGGUUUAAAGGGUGCGUAGGCGGAUUUUUAAGUCAGUGGUGAAAUCUCUCGGCUCAACUGAGAAACUGCCAUUGAUACUAUUGAUCUUGAGUACAUUUGAAGUGGGCGGAAUGUGUCAUGUAGCGGUGAAAUGCAUAGAGAUGACACAGAACACCGAUAGCGAAGGCAGCUCACUAAACUGUAACUGACGCUGAUGCACGAAAGCGUGGGGAUCAAACAGGAUUAGAUACCCUGGUAGUCCACGCCGUAAACGAUGAUUACUCGAUGUGUGCGAUACACUGUACGCGUCUAAGCGAAAGCGAUAAGUAAUCCACCUGGGGAGUACGUUCGCAAGAAUGAA
rnacentral:rRNA from 1 species